UACGUAGGGUGCGAGCGUUGUCCGGAAUCAUUGGGCGUAAAGGGCUCGUAGGCGGUCCAUCGCGUCGGGAGUGAAACGCUGGGGCUUAACCCCAGUCCUGCUUUCGAUACGGGUGGACUAGAGGUAGGCAGGGGAGAAUGGAAUUCCUGGUGUAGCGGUGAAAUGCGCAGAUAUCAGGAGGAACACCGGUGGCGAAGGCGGUUCUCUGGGCCUAAUCUGACGCUGAGGAGCGAAGGCGUGGGGAGCAAACAGG
rnacentral:rRNA from 1 species